AGCAAAGCGCUCACAUGAGGGGAUCCCUGGCCUUGUCUGGAAAACUUAGAAAUGCUUUAAACAGCUGGAAGGCAUAAAGUUGCUUUUGUUUUGAAUAGCAUGCACAGCAAGAAGAGUACCAGCCUUGACGUUCAAUAAGGACCUUUUUUUGAAGGAACUUACUUCAUAAUUUAAAAGGGAAGAGGUUUCCCUCAGGAAGACCAUUUAUAACUGGCCCUAGAGAAUAAGGGAUUUUCAAUGCCCCACUCUACACCUGAUGACGCCAAUAUCAAGACCUUCCAGUGAUGACUACUGACCUGUACCAAUGCACUUCUCCCCUUAGUCUCAUGCACAUGAGAAGUGUCCCCCUCACCCUCAGUCUCCAACCCCGUCUGUGUUCUGGCACCAUAUGCCACAACUCAGUGCAGCUCCUGAGUAUCAGUGCAGGUUGAAGAUCCGAAGUCUCAAAUUCUCCAAGCCCUGGAACCUUAAGGGCAAACACCAUGCCACAAGGAGACCCCACAGAUGACUCCCUGUGACCCUCACAGUCAAAGCACAGGUGUGUGGCAGCUUCUCCCCAGAUGCCUGCUGGCCUGAAGCCUGAAGCCUGAAGCCCACUGUCUCCAGCCCCAACCGCAUGCUGGCGAGGGUCAGAGCUGGGUGCAAGGAGGGGGCUGAGCUGGGGCCACUGGACUCACUUGAGGACCGGGAGAUGGAGCUAAAGCGUUAGGUUCUAUUUAUGAAGGAGACAACUGUUUCUGGGAAUUAUGUCCAGUUUCAUUUCCACAUGGGAUAGAUGAAAAGGUGACCCCCAAUGCCUUUUGAGUAGAGAUUUCCUGGAUAGAAACAUACCUCCAGCCCUGCCCCAAUUACAUGUAUGAAGGCUUUUAAAAAAACAAUAACAUAUCAUCGCUGUAAAGCAAAGUAAACUGAAGUUCCGGGAAGCAGUGGAAAUUAACCUGAGAACAGCAGUGACCUAUACAUCCUUUGACUACGCCAAGGAGAAUAAAGAGCUGUUUGCAGAGAAUCACUGUUCCAUUCGUUCAACAUCCAUAGCACUGUCAUCUCAGUUGAAACUCCUACUGUUAUGGCUUGUGUCUAGAUGCCCCUCCAAAGCCUCCUGCAGUCAUAGGUGGGGCAUUGUCAGAGGUGACCAGAUCUAGAGUGUGUGAUAGGUGCAGUGAUAGGAUUAAGGGUGGGUGGUUACUAAAUCAGCCCACUGAUUGGUUUGGUCCUAAUCCUGGCAGCAUGGAUACAGAAAUAAACUCAUCUUACCCUCUCCCUUGAUGCCCACCAAGAACUUUUCCUGUGCCUCUCCACCUUGCCUGGAGCCAGCUGAGGGUGGACUGAAACCUCUACAAACUGGGAGCUAAAUAAACCUCCCUUAUCUUGUGGGUGUUGGGUAUUUUGUCUAUCUAACAAGAGAAAUGUAAUUAACACACCUAGUAUAACCCCAUCAAGUUAGAAAAACGACAAAAAGGACAACUUUCAAAAACUCAGAAACACAAACUGGCAGAUAAAACAGAUCAGGAAGAGGAGCUUGCUCCGGGCUGGAAUUGGGUUGAUUUGGUGAAGCACUGAGGAGCACAGACCUGAAGGGGACAACUAGCCCUUGGAAUCUGAGAUAAGGGAAGAGUGUCCCUUAGAAAGUAAACUGGUUUCCACAGCUUUCAUUACCAUUUUCUGGUACUGAGGUGUUGUUUUUUUUUUUUUUUUUAAGUAUAUAGAAUACGGUUUUUGUAUAUUGCUUACACAAUAGAUGUAAGCGGAAAGUUCAUGAAGAGAUCUGGUCAAUUAAAUUAUUUUUACAAAACUGCCUUAAUAGAUGGUGGAAAUGUUACUGUUCAGUAUGCAGUAAUUUAUGAAGCCUGUUAAGCUCUAUAAAUUUACAAACAUAAGGAGUAAUCAGUUUAUUUAUAUGAACUUACUCUAGUGGAUGUGGUGGCUUUUCAAGGAGAAUGAGAACGUGUAGACAGUUACUUCAUAGCAUGAUCCACAUUAAUAGGUUUGUACCCCAAAGUCUUUAUCUCUUCUCUUACUUAACUAGAAGCAGAAUUACAUCAAAGAAAUUUAAAUAGCAGUGUUUGCACUUUAUUUCAUGCUCUUUGUAGUUACUUUUUAUUUUUCAACAAUGAACUCCUUUCAUUUUAAAAAAACUGACAACUGUUUAGACUUUUGAUUUGGGUCACAAUGUUUUUUGUUUUGUUUUGUUUUUUGUCUUUUUGAGACAGGGUCUCACUAUGCAGUUGAGAACCUUGAGCUCACUUUGUAGUCCAAACAGGCCUCAAACUUGCAGUGAUCCUCCUGCCUGAGCCUCCUGAGUGCUAGGAUUAUAGGCGAGCACCACCAUUGGCUGGGUCAAGGUGUUUGAUCUUGAGAGCUUUCAAUGGUGUGAGUAAUAGGUGAGCAUAAAAGCCAAUCUAGGGGGCUGGGGAUUUAGCUCAGCAGCAUAAGCACCUGCCUUGCAAGCAGGCAGUUGUGAGUUUGAUCCCUGGUACCGAUUUAAAAGAAAAAAAAGCCAAUCUGUCAGAUACGUUAGAAGACUUUUGCAUAAACCAAGGUGUGUUGGUGCAAUCUUGUAAUCAAAGCACUCUGGAAGUUGAGGUAGAAUUAUACAUUGGAGGCCAGCCUGGGAUACAUAGGGCGAACUUGUCUCAAAAACAAAACAAAAGACAGAGAAGGAGAGAAAAGAAAAAAUUGCAUCAAUAUUAUUUAAACAUUUCAUUUUGCACUCAGGAGGCUGAGGCAGGAGGAUUGCCGUGAGUUCAACGCCAGGCUGGGCUACAUAGUGAUUUCAAGGCCAGCCUGAAUAAUAUAGCCAGAUCUUGUCUCAACACCCCCCAAAAUGUAAGUAAAUAAAUAGUAGAAUGAAAAAAUGUUUUCUUUGCUGCAUAUACUAGUAUGGGAGUAAGUGAUACCUUAAUAAUUUGUAUAUUGUUGGAAACAGUGAUUUUCAUAAAAUUUUA